rnacentral:lncRNA from 1 species
CUGUUUCUCGAGCCUCGCCCCCCUCCCCUGCACCUCGAAUGCGCCGCCUCCUUCCCUCCCUCUCCCCUGCACCUCGAAUGCGCCGCCUCCUUCCCUCCCCUUCGCUUCUUUCUAAGGCGGCGGUGGCCUACAGGCAAAGGGCAACGGCGACGACACUCGAUUUGAUCUGCAUGAGAAAGAGAAGAAGAUAGGGAGAGAGAUAACGGAGGAGAGGAGGGAGAAAGAGAGAGGAAAGAGGAGAUGGAGGUGCCGCGGCGGAUGGGAGAGGGUCACCGGAAGGAGCGCCGCUGGCUCGUCAUCAUCACGCUGGAGGAGAG